rnacentral:rRNA from 1 species
GCUUGCUACAGGCUUAACACAUGCAAGUCGAGGGGCAUCAGGAAGAAAGCUUGCUUUCUUUGCUGGCGACCGGCGCACGGGUGAGUAACACGUAUCCAACCUGCCCUUUACUCGGGGAUAGCCUUUCGAAAGAAAGAUUAAUACCCGAUAGCAUAAUGAUUCCGCAUGGUUUCAUUAUUAAAGGAUUCCGGUAAAGGAUGGGGAUGCGUUCCAUUAGGUUGUUGGUGAGGUAAUGGCCCACCAAGCCUUCGAUGGAUAGGGGUUCUGAGAGGAAGGUCCCCCACAUUGGAACUGAGACACGGUCCAAACUCCUACGGGAGGCAGCAGUGAGGAAUAUUGGUCAAUGGGCGCUAGCCUGAACCAGCCAAGUAGCGUGAAGGAUGAAGGCUCUAUGGGUCGUAAACUUCUUUUAUAUAAGAAUAAAGUGCAGUAUGUAUACUGUUUUGUAUGUAUUAUAUGAAUAAGGAUCGGCUAACUCCGUGCCAGCAGCCGCGGUAAUACGGAGGAUCCGAGCGUUAUCCGGAUUUAUUGGGUUUAAAGGGAGCGUAGGUGGACUGGUAAGUCAGUUGUGAAAGUUUGCGGCUCAACCGUAAAAUUGCAGUUGAUACUGUCAGUCUUGAGUACAGUAGAGGUGGGCGGAAUUCGUGGUGUAGCGGUGAAAUGCUUAGAUAUCACGAAGAACUCCGAUUGCGAAGGCAGCUCACUGGACUGCAACUGACACUGAUGCUCGAAAGUGUGGGUAUCAAACAGGAUUAGAUACCCUGGUAGUCCACACAGUAAACGAUGAAUACUCGCUGUUUGCGAUAUACAGUAAGCGGCCAAGCGAAAGCAUUAAGUAUUCCACCUGGGGAGUACGCCGGCAACGGUGAAACUCAAAGGAAUUGACGGGGGCCCGCACAAGCGGAGGAACAUGUGGUUUAAUUCGAUGAUACGCGAGGAACCUUACCCGGGCUUAAAUUGCAGUGGAAUGAUGUGGAAACAUGUCAGUGAGCAAUCACCGCUGUGAAGGUGCUGCAUGGUUGUCGUCAGCUCGUGCCGUGAGGUGUUGGCUUAAGUCCCAUAACGAGCGCAACCCUUACCGUUAGUUGCUAGCAUGUAAUGAUGAGCACUCUAACGGGACUGCCGUCGUAAGAUGUGAGGAAGGUGGGGAUGACGUCAAAUCAGCACGGCCCUUACGUCCGGGGCUACACACGUGUUACAAUGGGGGGUACAGAAGGCAGCUACCUGGUGACAGGAUGCUAAUCCCAAAAGCCUCUCUCAGUUCGGAUCGAAGUCUGCAACCCGACUUCGUGAAGCUGGAUUCGCUAGUAAUCGCGCAUCAGCCAUGGCGCGGUGAAUACGUUCCCGGGCCUUGUACACACCGCCCGUCAAGCCAUGAAAGCCGGGGGUACCUGAAGUACGUAACCGCAAGGAGCGUCCUAGGGUAAAACUGGUAACUGGGGCUAAG